UCAGUUCAUUGCAAGUGGCAUUCUGACAUUUGCAGCUGGAAGUUCUCCAUUCAUGCCUGUGGUGAAGCUGUCCUUCAUAUUCAACAUUAUCAGCCUUUUCUGGUCAAUCGCAGCUAUAGUUCUCUGUCCGUUAUUAAAUGAAGGAAGCUGGCAUUUGUAUAACAGCCCAGAAUACGACACAAGGGUACGUU